UAGGGAAUCUUCGGCAAUGGACCAAAGUCUGACCGAGCAACGCCGCGUGAGUGAAGAAGGUUUUCGGAUCGUAAAACUCUGUUGUUAGAGAAGAACAAGGACGUUAGUAACUGAACGUCCCCUGACGGUAUCUAACCAGAAAGCCACGGCUAACUACGUGCCAGCAGCCGCGGUAAUACGUAGGUGGCAAGCGUUGUCCGGAUUUAUUGGGCGUAAAGCGAGCGCAGGCGGUUUCUUAAGUCUGAUGUGAAAGCCCCCGGCUCAACCGGGGAGGGUCAUUGGAAACUGGGAGACUUAAGUGAAGAAGAGGAGAGUGGAAUUCCAUGGGUAGCGGUGAAAUGCGUAGAUAUAUGGAGGAACACCAGUGGCGAAGGCGGCUCUCUGGUCUGUAACUGACGCUGAGGCUCGAAAGCGUGGGGAGCAAACAGG
rnacentral:rRNA from 1 species